ACCAUGCUCAAAGGCAAAUAUAUAUAUUGGAAUUAUACAGAAAAGAUUACCAUGGCUGCUGCACAAAGAUGACAUGAAAAUUCAUGAAGUGUUCCUUAUUUUA
ensembl:snRNA U6 U6 spliceosomal RNA